GACGAACGCUGGCGGCGUGCCUAAUACAUGCAAGUCGAGCGAGCUUGCCUAGAUGAAUUUGGUGCUUGCACCAGAUGAAACUAGAUACAAGCGAGCGGCGGACGGGUGAGUAACACGUGGGUAACCUGCCCAAGAGACUGGGAUAACACCUGGAAACAGAUGCUAAUACCGGAUAACAACACUAGACGCAUGUCUAGAGUUUAAAAGAUGGUUCUGCUAUCACUCUUGGAUGGACCUGCGGUGCAUUAGCUAGUUGGUAAGGCAACGGCUUACCAAGGCAAUGAUGCAUAGCCGAGUUGAGAGACUGAUCGGCCACAUUGGGACUGAGACACGGCCCAAACUCCUACGGGAGGCAGCAGUAGGGAAUCUUCCACAAUGGACGCAAGUCUGAUGGAGCAACGCCGCGUGAGUGAAGAAGGGUUUCGGCUCGUAAAGCUCUGUUGGUAGUGAAGAAAGAUAGAGGUAGUAACUGGCCUUUAUUUGACGGUAAUUACUUAGAAAGUCACGGCUAACCACGUG
rnacentral:rRNA from 1 species